rfam:Picea glauca, whole genome shotgun sequence.
AUGUAAUGUAAUGUAAUUUUUAAAAUACUAACCAAUUGUAUCACAUUAGAACUCUAGAGUUAAUAACGCUUGGGAUAGAGUAGUACUGGGGUGGGCGACCUCCUAGGAAGUCCUAGUGUUUUACAUG